rnacentral:tRNA from 1 species
UUAAAAAUAAAGACCCCUGGUUGUAUAAUCAACCUUAUUCUGCUUUCAAAACAGAUGCUUUAAUCGGCCAAGGGGUC